UCACUAGACGCAAUUCCAGAACAAUCGUUCUUUUAUCUUUUUGUUCCAAUUUCCAACAAUGGAGGUCAUCCAUUUUCAAGAACAAUUUUUUGAGUUCUCUUCAUUUUUGAGAUCAACCUUUAUCUCAAUUAUGUCUGAAAUUUCUUUCAGUUCUUUUCAUACUUCUGAAUUUUACAACUAAAAUUUAUGUCUUGAUCAUGUCCUUAUUAUUCUGUCUAAUUCUUUCCCCAUUUUAAUGGACAGAUGUGAAGAUUUUUCAAUUGUAGUUCUCACAUAACUCCGAUCCUUUUUUUUUAAUAGCAGCAGAUUUAUUCUUCAUAAAUAAUAUAGAAUAUGUGCCCUUCCCUCGGUUAGCUUGGGCCCUGUAGCCGGUGAGUUUGUUGUUAUUUUUUCACCCUUGUUCAUUUCAUUGUUUCAGUUAUAAUUAUUUUAUAUUUUUUGUGACUAUUUGUUCUUAUUAUUUUAUAUGGAUCAUUUACGUGAAACACGAUUAGGCAGACGUAAUCAGGUUACUCAACUAGAGCGAGCUACAUUAGACUUGACAAGUGCCUAAGUAUCUAAUCUACUCAGUUUAUACCAUAUUUAUUGUAUUGUGCCAGCUUUUGUUGAGAUAAAAAAAAGGAAUAAUUUCUUAAGAGUGUGUAUCUUUUUAGUUUCUAAUGAGAUAACAUGUAUGUGUGGUUCUAAGGAAUUUAUAGUGCUGGUGCAUUACACUUUGCUUAUUUUUUCUCUACGGUUAGCUUAUUAGAGGAAGUAUCGCCCAUUUGGCAGUUUAGAGUUAUAAUAAUCACGUGAUUGGUUUUUAUUAUUCUGGUUUGGAUUACCUCCUUUUGGCAAUUACACCUUCGAGAUGAAUUUGCAAAGAAAAUAUUUUUUUUUCUUUUUUGCAUUCCUAAAAAUAUUUCAAACACGAGUAUAUACAGAUAUUGUACUUCAAAAUAAUUAAUCAGUAAUAAAGUAGUGCCAUAGUAGGAGGCUAAUGAACAAGAGUAAUGACAAGAAUAUUAUGAAAGUAUGUCAUGUAUAGCUGAGAAGUCGAAAAUAAGACUUCGAGGACCAUUCAUUUAAGUAUAUUUUGGAAUGGUUGACUCAAGAGGAAUAUAAGGUGUUUUGAGGAGAAGGAAGAGAACAUUUUGUUGUUGAAGAAUAGAUGCAUCCAUAGUUUAAAAGUUUGGUGUAACGCUGAUGUUUCUAACGAUCUUAAUGUAGGAGUUUCUGAUUCCUUACAGCUUUAGAGGAACCCAAUUUAGCUUUGUUUUACUUCGUCUCAGUACCAGCUUGGUGCUGAGUCUGUUUUAAUAACAAUACAUUUACUUUAAAAAAAUGUAUGGCCUGCCAAUAGAGCUGUCUUUUGUGGACCAGUUCCUAUCUCUUUGAAAAAAUAUUUCUCAGAUGAUAUUGUCUACAUUUAGAGGAAUCUUAUUAGGGGUUGUAGAUUCCAUACGCCUCCAACAUGCUUUGGUACUUUUUGUUGAGGUUUUUGUUAUUUAAGAUGAAAUAGUCUUAAAAUGAGGGUGAAUGGGAAAUGGAGGGAAAAUGAAAUUUUUUGAGUAAAAUUUUAAGUUUCCCCCUCUUGACAAUGAGACAUUGUCCCAUAUUGGAAGAGGAAAGAUUUUUGGUGGGUAUAUAUAUAAUUGCUCUUCUUGUAGCUCUUAAAGAGUUAAGAAGAAAGCAAGCUUCGCGCCGUCGUCGCUCGCUCGGCUCGGCUUCGGCUUCGGCUUCGGCUUCGGCUUCCCACCAUGGCCAAGUGCUUGCUCCACAAACAAGCUAGUGCAUGCUCCACCAUGGAGGGUGGAGGGUCGUUCGUCUUCAAAGCUGGCUGCUAUAUAUAUGUGCAGCAGCUCUUGAAAAAAGAUACGAACGAAAACACCAACAAAACUAAAAAACGCUCAACUUUGGCUAUACAUUGCACUCCUUCCUCUCAGCAUUUCCAUACGAUUUUCUGAGUUUCUACUCCUUCGUUCUGCAUUGUUUUAACUUCAAACAAAGUAACUGUAAGUGUGAUGCUACCGAACUUUGUGUUCGCUGAAACACUGGGGUUUGAAGUACCGCUACACCAGUGUGUGAUUCGUUCUAUCCUGGGAGAAAAUAAUCCAUAAUUUUGGGUACCAGGAGGGGAUUAAAUUCCUUAAGGAAACACUGUGAAUUCAGUGGGCUCAAAUUAAUUACUGUUUCAUUACGAUAACUUAUAUUUUGCAGAAUUAUUAUUUACAAAUACAGCAAUAUUGGCGGGACUAACACUUUUGUGGCCUUACAAUGGUAUUGGCUUCAAAGAGCUAAGCUUUCUCUUCUUCUUGGUUUCACAAGAUCAAGUGGAGAUACGUAGUAUAUGUUAAUCUACUUCUUUUGUAUAGCUACAAAAGUUCCUCUCUCUGCUGUUAUAUUCUUUAUACUUUGAUCUACUUCUUCUGUUUCUUGUGGUAAAGUUCCUUUAUUCACUACUUUAUCUUUUUAUCACCAGAAUUAGCAAGAGAUCCUUCUUUAUUUAUGUACUCGCAUGUCAAAAAUACAUUUUAUGCUAAAAUGUUACCUUAGAAGAAGUCUAAUGAACCAGCAUUUGCUGGUCUGAGAAAGGUGGAUCAUGGAUUACUCAGUCCAGAUAUGCUAAGACGUCUAUCUAGAAGUGGUGUAAAAAUUUUAUGUCCUUGUUGUCGACAUAAAAUAUGAUUUCCCUCAAUAUUGAUUCUUGUAUAUUGUUUAAUUGGAGAGAUCUCCUUCAUGUUACAGAUGCCAUUGAAUGAACAUGCAUGUUAAGUGGAAGUAGAUGAAUAACCUUAGUUGUGCAAGUGCUUCGAGGCAUGGUUAUGGUCAAAGCUAUAUUUUGGUUGUCCUGAUGAUUAUUUGGUUUUUGAAAAUGUUGGUCUAGACUCAUUAGCCGAUUCAUACUCUUUCUUGUUGCAUUUUGAGAAAAUAUCGUCAACUAUAAAAAUCUUGAUUUAUCAUUAUUUCUCUGUUGUCACUACCACAAUUGUAACGACCCAGUCAGUCGUUUUGAGUAUUACAAUCCCGUUUCCUUAUUUACUGUUCAAAUUAUGCUAUAUGGUUGUUAUUUGACUUGCCGGGGUAAUUGGUUCGGGUCCGGUGAGGUUUUGAAAUGAUUUGGAACAGUUAAUUCCAAGGUUUAGAAUGUAANNNNNNUGUUGACUUAUGUGUAACGACCCCGGAUAAUUUUUUUGCUAAGAAAAUUAAGGUUAUCUAGUGCCGAGGUAGAUUAAUUAGUACAAAGGUUGUAGAAAUUCUCGCGGCGAGCUUGCAAGCCGCGACUCGAACUUUUUUUGAUUGAACAAUGUACUAGGGAGUAAAGGAACAUUUUUGCCAGAAAAAGUCAUUUCUGCGGCCCACUAUGCGGUCGCAGAAUCACUCUGCGGACCGCAUAAGGGUUGCAGAGUGAAUCAGAGGCGGGACAGCUUGGAGGAAGAUCUGCGGUGCAUUAUGCGACCGCAGACCAGUUCUGCGGUGCAUUAUGCGACCGCAUAACAGGUCUACGGGCCGCAUAACUACUGCAGACCCAGACAGACGACCCCCAGUUUUGGGCACCAAAUUUUUGCGGCCGAUAUGCAGACCGCAUAUCAAUUAUGCGAUCGCAUAUGCGACCGCAGAAUGUAUUCCGGGGAUUCAUUUUUCUGGUUUUAUAAAUCCGAUACCAUUCUUAUAAAACACUAUUGGGGGUCAUUUUGAAGAGUUUCAUCUGAUAUUUUAGAGAAAGGUGAGAGUAUUUUAGAGAGAGAAAGUGAAGACCUAGUCAUUUGUCCAUCAAUUGUUGUUCAAGGUUUGAAGAUUUCACAAGGAUCUUGCUAGGGCUUCAAAGAGGUAAGAGUUUCUUUCCCCAAUUCUUCAAUUUCGAGUUUGGAGUAAAAGAUGGAGGAUUAAGAAUAUGAUUCUUAGGUGUAAGAGUAUUAUUUAUACAUACAUGUACUAAUAAGGUUUGUGAAAAGAUUGUUGAGUUCAAAUGGGUAAAGAUUGGGUUGAAAAUAUUAGAAAUCUUCAAAGACUUUAAUUGAAGAUUUGAGGGUCGAGUUGAUGUCGGAAUUUGGUGAAAUUUGUAUGGUUGGACUCGUGGUUGAAUGAGCGUUCAUAUUUUGUAACUUUUGUCGGGUUCUGAGACGUGGGCUCUACGGGCGAUUUUUGGGCGUAAUUUCGAUUUUUUGUUGCAAAAUUUGUAUUUUCAUAUGGAAUUAAUUCCUAUAAUUUGAAUUAAUUAUGACUAGAUUCGAGACGUUCAGAGGCCGAUUUGCGAGGCAAAGGCUUAUUGGAAUAAAGAAUUGCUCGGAUUGAGGUAAGUAACAGUUUUAAAUUUGGUCAUGAGGGUAUGAAACCUCGGAUUAUGUGUUAUAUGAUUGGUUUUGAGGUGACGCACUUGUUAGCUGACGGGCGUGUGGGUGUGCACCGUAGGAAUUGUGACUUGGUCAAAUUCCAUGAAACUGUGUAGUUGAAUCAUUUGUUGUUAUCUACACAUUUUCUAUGUAGUAAAAAAAUUGAACCACAAAUCAUGUUUAGAUUAUGUGUUGGCACUGUAGGGACCCACAAAGGUCGUGUAUAUGUUGAACUAUCGGCUAAGCUGUUAUUUUGUACUCAGUCACAGUUUACUUGUUUAUUUUAUCUCAGUCUCUAUUGUCCAUUAUUGAUGCAUCAUAUCAUUGUUGUUUGGGCUGCUUUUUAUGAUUAUUGAGAGCCCGAGAGUCUAGAGAGAUUUAUGACCGAGUGAGGCCAAGGUCCUGAUUGUGAGAUAUUAUACUAUAACACGUGAGUUGUCCGUGCAGCAUAUGAGUUGUCCGUGCGGAUCCAGAUAUUAUACUAUAGCACGUGAGUUGUCCGUGCAAUACGUGAGUUAUCCGUGCGGAUCCAGAUUUUAUACUAUAGCACGUGAGUUGUCCGUGCAAAUCCAGAUAUUGAUACUAUAGCACAUAAAUUAUCCGUGUAGUACGUGAAUUGUCCGUGCAGAUUAUAGUGCUUGGGCUAUAGGAGCCCCUCCGGAGUCUGUACACACCCCCAGAGAGCGUAGGUACCUACUGAGUACGAGUGAUGAGUGAAUGAAAUGGCUGAGUGAAUGUGGUCCUGAGAGGAUGCAUUUGAUUUCAUUCUUAUUGCAUUAGAGUUGUCAUAUAUCACUGUGUUGAAAAUUUCUGAAAGAUAUUAUUUUCUUUUUCAGUCGAACUUGAUAUGAAAUUACUGUUGAGUAUUAAAUGUUGAACAUAAAAGUAUGCCUAAAUCUUAUGUUGGAAAUUACUGUAAUUGGACUCAACUGUGAAGCUCGUCACUAUCUUCAGCUCUUUAUGUAGUAUUGUUACUUGCUGAGUUGGUUGUAAUCAUACUACACCCUGCACCUCAUGUGCAGAUCCAGGUACUUCUGGAUACGGCGGUUGCUAGUUCUCGGAGUUUUAUCUGUUGGAGAUUAUCGAGGUAGCUGUUUGGCAUUCGCAGACCAUGACUCUCUUUCCUUUCAAUUUUUUUUUUGUAUUGUUCUAUAUUGUCAGACAGUGUUUUUAGCAGUCAUACUUUGUUAUCAUUUAGAUACUCAUAUACUCAGUGGAAUCAGAUUUUGGGAGUGUUUUGUAUCUAAAAUUGUGAGG
rnacentral:lncRNA from 1 species